UAACUACUUUGUUCUCACCAUGAACGUGAAGCCACAGCAUAAGUCUUUCGUAUAUUUUGAAGACAGACAUGUUCAUUCACUUGAGUUUAGCCCCGUCUCAGACGUAUGUAGCCAUGCCAUCGUGCGAUGCAAAGUCAUACCAUCACUGCCUACGAGCAACAAGAAAGAAUGCCCAGACCACAUUGCAUGGAUUUGUUUGUCAAAGGUUACAGGCAAGAUUCACUCUGCAGACUGCACUUGUGCAGCUGGGGCUGGUGAGGCUUGCAAUCACAUUGCAGCACUGUGCCACUGUUUAGUUGAUGUGACAACAAGGAGGAAAGCCGGUACUACAUCAUGCACAUCCCAACCAUGCAAGUGGAAUAACCCACGCAAGAGGAAACUUAGUCCAAAAAGAUCACAAGAUGUUAAUUUUAGAAAGUCAUCUUCUGUUCUACAUGAAAGGAAAGCAGUGAUAGAAAAUUGUUCAAAUUCAGAGAAGUGUGAUAAGAUUGGUAAUGAAAAAGCAGCUUACAUUAAACCCAUUGUCAACUGUCAGAGAUUUAAACAGAAACUUGAAAGUAAGAAUUCCAAUGCUGCCUGGUUAAAGUUUUAUGCAGACACUUCUACGCCAUCAAACAUGAAACCCUCUCUGCCUCCCCUUCAUAACAUUUCCUUUUCAUAUUGUGACCAUGUAGAUCUUCAUUCCACUGAUUGUCAGCAAAAAAAUGCAGGUAUUAUUUGAUUGUAUGCAUGUGUCAGAGGAAGAUGCCCAUUGUAUCGAGACAUUAACAGGAGGUCAGCAUAAAAACGACUUAUGGUUAGCUGCCAGAAGUGAAAGACUUACUUCUUCUAAAUUUGGAGAUGUUGUGUUGAUGCGCAGUGACACAAAGCCAGAUAAUCUUCUUAAAGAUAUUUGUGGCUACAGAGACAUUUCUGAUGUUACUUUUUGUAAAUGGGGAACCAGUCAUGAACCUGCAGCACGCAAGGUCUAUCAAACAGCAAACAAGAACUGUGUCUGUGUGGAACAAUGUGGUCUUAUUGUUAAUCCAAAGUAUCCACACCUUGGUGCUAGCCCUGAUGGUUUGAUACAGACUGAUGAUGGACAUACUGGUGGUGUUCUUGAGAUAAAGUGUCCUGCACGCUGUGACUGGAAAUGGAUGGAGCCCAAGGAGUGUGCCAAGGAUCCUAGAUUCUACUGUUCCCUAGAUGAGAAUGACCGUGUUCGUCUUAAAAGGUCUCAUAGAUAUUAUUACCAAAUUCAGGGUCAAAUGGCUAUUACUGAAAGACUGUGGUGUGAUUUCAUGAUUUGGACUUUGAAUGGGUGGACUGUUGACAGAAUCAGAUUUGAUGAAAAAGUCUGGAAUGACAUGCUGCCCCAGUUGAACAAAUUUUACCUGACUAAUGUAAUUCCAGAAUUAUUCUCAAGAAGAGUGAAAAGGGGUAUUCCACUGUAUAAUUAAAUAAGAUUUCAAGUGUUCCUAUAAAUGUAUCAGUGAUUGCCUGUGCUGACCAGUUCACAUUCAUUGUUGAAACAGUAUGGCAAUGUUUAAUGAAAAAGAGUUCAUGCUUGCUUGAAAAGUGUUUGAAUACACAAGGUGAAAAUGACAAGUGCAUAUUUCUAGAAUGUUUGCCUAAAGUUCUCAAAAGAGUGUUUGAAUUAAAUGUAGCAUGUGCAGAAUACCAAUCCACUGAGUAGGUUCAAGUGCUUGAAUAUAACCAAAUAUAAAUAUUUUUUCCUAUUGUACAUUUACAGUGAAAGCAAGUACCAUGAAAUCACUUACACUAUGACACAAGAAACAGACUUGUCUGUAACUAAAUUGCUUCAUCCCUUGUAUUUAAGUGCUUUAUUCUGCAUGCUAAAUGUUCUUAAAAUCUUUUGCCAUCUUAUUUGAUGGCUUAUAAUAAUUAUCAGCUUUGAAGAUCAAUUAGUAGUGUUUUUAAAUAUGUAUAUAUAACAAAAACACAAACAGAUCACUAAAAUUAUUUUAUUGGUGAACUGAUAACUGUGUGCAGAUCAAUACUGACUCACUUUCAACAACAUGGAUAGCUGUUUAACAGCUAGAGAGAUAAUAUACUUAUGGAACUUCCUGAACCAUUCAGUGCUACAGAGUCAAGUGAAAUCUUUCUUGUAGUAUUGAGGCCUCUGUACCAGUAUAUAUGUUGUAAAGACAAACGUUAAUAAUAUGAAACAUCACAAUUUGGUAUUUGCAUAUGGAUACCUAGAGCAUCACUAAAACCUGCCACAACUGAAAACGCACUACAAAGUAGUUUUGCUAAAUUAUCUCCCUUUAAGGUUAACUGUUCACAGUUCACAUCCUUUCAUAACUGGUGCAUUGUAUAAUAAAAAUAAAGAAAGGCACAUUUUCAAGCACACUAUUAUUUCAGUAUUUAACACAUUUGUCAAUAUUACAUUUGUUGAAUGACAUGCUCUACCAAUAAAGCUACAAAUUUGUCAGCUUUAUAGUAAUGUUCUAAUGGCAUUCACAUACUACAGAUAAAGCAAAAAAAAAUAGGUUUCUUGUAAAAAAAUGUAAAUGUUCUUAUUGACAAUAUAUACCUGUGUGUCAUUGUACAUAUGAUGGACAAUGCGGAUGUUGUGUAAAACAACUUACCUGACACUGCAUUCAGACAAUGUGUCAAGACAGGAAUUAAUAUAUUUGUGAAUGUAAAUAAAUAUAGAAUCUUC